rnacentral:rRNA from 1 species
UCAUUAACGAAUCAAACAAGUUCAUCUUGUUCUGAUCCUGUGCACCUUAUGUAGUCCCAAAGCCUUCACGGGCGGCGGUUGACUACGUCUACCUCACACCUUAAAGUAUGUUAACGAAUGUAAUCAUGGUCUUGACAGACCCUAAAAAGUUAAUACAACUUUCGACAACGGAUCUCUUGGCUCUCGCAUCGAUGAAGAACGCAGCGAAAUGCGAUAAGUAAUGUGAAUUGCAGAAUUCAGUGAAUCAUCGAAUCUUUGAACGCACCUUGCGCCCUUUGGUAUUCCGAGGGGCAUGCCUGUUUGAGUGUCAUUAAAUACCAUCAACCCUCUUUUGACUUCGGUCUCGAGAGUGGCUUGGAAGUGGAGGUCUGCUGGAGCCUAACGGAGCCAGCUCCUCUUAAAUGUAUUAGCGGAUUUCCCUUGCGGGAUCGCGUCUCCGAUGUGAUAAUUUCUACGUCGUUGACCAUCUCGGGGCUGACCUAGUCAGUUUCAAUAGGAGUCUGCUUCCAACCGUCUCUUGACCGAGACUAGCGACUUGUGCGCUAACUUUU